GUGGUGGUUUGGGUGGGGGGAGCGGGAUCAGGUUCUAUCGAUGACCCAUUGGCCCCUAGGGUUGGCGUCCCAACUAAAGGCGGCCAGAGGGGAGGGGGAGAGAUGAACAGGCAAUCUCUCCCUAGACUCAUAGCCCAGCAAUCUUGCACUGACAGCCACCACAACGCCAACGCCAAGGCCAAGAGGCGCUUCCGCAGUUAGGGGUAAUAACCUUGGUUGACAGACAUCCAUUCCGGAGCUGAAUCUGACAACAAACCAUCUCUUUGGCAAAGAGAUGAUUUCAUUAUUAUAAAAGAUUUGCAGGGCAGAUGACCUGAAAUAGAGCUUCAGCUGGCUGAAUGUUGAUGAACUUACCUUCAGCAAACUCCAUGUAGAUUGCAAGAUAUUGCAGUUUUUGAUGAGUGAAACCAGUCCAUCUCUACCUAUACGGCAGAGAACAGGAGUGGUUCUUGGUUGUGCAACAAGAAGGUGAGCAAUAAAAAGACCAUGAACUAGAAAAAUCACCAAGCCAUCUAGUUUCUGAUUCAUGGAUUAUACAUCUCAUGUUAGAACAACCAAAUUAUGUAUAUUCUUUUCGUUUACAUGAACAUUUUCACCAGAGUACUGUUCAGUUUGCAUGCCCCA